CACUAAGAAGCUGAAGCGGGAACAGCAUUAGCCUUUUAAGCUAAAAAUUGAUGGCCCCCAACCAUCCUUAGUGC
rnacentral:tRNA from 1 species